AACAGGAGAUAAUAGCAACAAAACAUGUCACGCCCCGCGACCGCCCGCCUAUUUGGCCGGGUCGCGGGGCCGUAACAGACCGCCGAACGGACAGGGUUUUUACUGUACUGCGAACAGAGUCUCCCCUGUACGUUCAAGGCAUAGCAAUCAAUACAAUGUGCGAAGUUCCAACCAGGAACACAUUUCAAUCAAGAUUGCAUAAUGGAAGGUAACAAACAACAUAACACAUCUAAUGUUAUUACAUGCAUUCACAUUUAUACAUUUUUACAUCACAAUUACAUAUUACAUUUAACUUCCAAAUACAAUCAUGCUUUUAUUACAAAUUAUUGCAACUUGAUUCUUUUCAUUCUUUACAUCCCUAAGUAAAGCCGACUCAGGGUACCGCUAUCUCUGGUCUCGGUGGUAGGGCGCUAACUAUGAUGCUACGUCCUCGCCUCGCGCCGCCGCGCCGCUCACGUGUGAACCUGUAACACUCCAAAACAACGUGGGGUGAGAACUAUAAGAUAUGGAUCCCGAGGAUCUAAAAGGUAAGUAACACCUAGAGGGGGGUGAAUAGGUGUAAAAACGGCAAACUCAAAAAUCUAGAUGCAAAUAAAACUAAAUAGCGGAAAAUAAAAUAGCACACCGAGAAUUUAACGUGGGAAAACUCCAAACCGGAGUGAAAAACCCACGGGACCGAUCACGUGAAGAAAAUCUACUAAGAAAACUUGAGUACAAGUGAUUUUGACAAAAAUACACGACUCAAUUUACCGAUUUCUUGUUGAUGGUGAUCUUCGCCAGUCCUCGAUCGAUAGGAAUCCUCCAACCGAUCCUGCCGCAACUCCUUGCAGUGUCAACGCCUCAACUCCUCGAAGUGUCCGUCGAAUACUCGGCUUCAUGCGAGAUCCACGCGCCGAACCUCCUUCCGGAGCUUGUAGAAUCGAAGAUUUGUGGUAAUUUAAUCUUUGAAUCCCAUAAGCUAUGAGGGUCCGUCUUCUAAUCAAACAUCAACUUGAUUCUCGAAUAAGAUCUAGAGUAACAUCGAAGAACCAAGUCGAUUGUUGAUUUUUCGAAACUUGUUAUGUGAAUAGAAGCAUUGAAACGAAAAAACAAGUUUUUAGGGUUUAGAAUCACUAAAUAUUCAAAGCCUUAAACUUUAAGAUGACCCCCAUAGCUUAUUUAUAUGUUUAGAAGACUUAGAAGCAGACUAGGAUUGCAAAAAGUCCUUUUUAAAAACCUGUGUCGUCCUCAGAGACUGGUCCUCUCGAGGAGACCGGUCUGUGAGAGACCGGUCUCUCAAGUGAGGAACCGGUCCCUCGCUGUGUGACCAAAAUCACAACGUUCGGAAACCGGUCUCUCAAGCUUGAGACCGGUCCCUCGCUGCGCGACAGAAUUACCAAGGUUCGGGAACCGGUCUCUCAUCUCAGGGGACCGGUUGCAUCAAAACUCACGCAGUGAGGACCUUAAGGGAACUGGUCUCUUGAACUCAGGGACCGGUCCCAGAACACAGAAAAGUUCAGUAAAAUAGUUUUAAAGCAAUCUAAGCCUUCUGAACUUAUUCUAAUUAAGUACCUUCACCACAAAUGAUCUUUUCUUCAUACCUUAGGUGCCGAACUUUACGAAUGAAUCUUUGUUCUUCAAUUUGAAUCUUUUCUUCAAAAACUUUCGCGAUCAACUCUUCAAGACUCCAUUCAACAUUACGAAAUUCGCCAACCUAUAAAAUCCUUAACAAUAUCCCCCUUUGGCGAUUUCGUGACAAAAUAUACUACAAUGCUCGUACACAACUCAGAAACAAUAAAAAGAAGAUCAUCACAAUCACCAAACGAUAAUCUCCUGCAUGAUCGAUCCAAUAAACGAAAAUUACAAUUUUCAUAACCUUAAUACAGACUCUAUGACUUAGAUAUGGAGUCUUGAAGUCUUGAAUUAUUCCUGCAAAAACAUUCUUAAAACAAAAAUCAAGAUUCAAGUAUACUUAUCAAGAUCAAACAUAAAUGUCAGAAUAGUACCAAGUCAUAGUUCAUAGUCAAGCACCUAAGCAAAUAUCUACACAACUAACACAACUAACUAAAUUUACACAACUAACACAACUAACUAAAUUUACACAACUAACACAACUAAGCAAAGUGCAUCAAAUCUAAACUAAAUGCUUCAUCAUCAUCAAGAGCCAUCCAUCACAUCAUCAUAUCAUCUGCCUUUUUUUGUCAGAAAGCGCCAAAAAGAUAAAAGGAGGAACCCCGCAACAUCUAAUCUGAAGCAUCCCCUGGGGGUAAAUCUGCUCGGCAACACCCUAAUUUGUCAAAAAUCAUAUUUAGUAAACGCUUCAUCUUGCUCAUAUCCUUCCGUAUCGCAGCUUGCUCUGCAGACAGUUUCUGAAGCUCCUCAGAUAAACGUUGUUGCUCACGAUACACAGAGGAAACUGAGAUAUCUUCCUCGGAAAUGUCCAUAGAAGGACGUGAAGAAGUAGCAGUAGCAGGAGGUGGAGCAGCAAGAGGGGAAGAAGCGCGCUGAGACGGGGUACGAAGCUGCACCGAGGACUUCACAAAUGUCCUUUCAUUGAUCCGACCCAAGCUGUGCUCGUACGAUGUACAACGAACAUCCACUUCAUGAAGUCGCAGAAUCCUCAUGAUUAUCAAUGGAAAUGGCAACCUUUCAUUUUGGCCUGAAGUCUUGAUGUCCUUUGUCAUUCUCCGCCAGAUUAAAAACGGAAUAUUCAUGUUAAUAUUUUUGGCACUUACAAUAUCCGGCCUACCCAAGAGAUACAUGUACAGAAUGCGAUCCCAUCUCAAAAUUUUCGUGUUCGCGAGAGGCAUGAUGUUGUAGCAAACCACGAAGUUCAGAAACCUGUACUCCAUUUUGAAAUCUUUGGACAUAACCAUAAUGCCGUUUGAUUCAGUACCCGGCAUGCAAAUAGUGUUCACGACACGGUUCCAAUCGCGAAGUGAGUCGAACCCGGCCUGCAGAUACUCCACUCCGUCAGUCCUUGCUUCCAUCUCUAGCACAGACGCUAUAGUAUCGGGAGUGAUUGAUAACUCAACACCACGUACGGAAGUAGUGAAGACGUACGGGCCGCCGUCGGAAUCACUCAAGUGACCUGCUCUCAUAUAGAAUUCUCUAAUCAGCUCUAAACAGAAACCAGUUUGUUCCGGAAAAUCACAAAUCUGAUGAAGAUUUUCUUUUCCAAAUAAAUCCUGAAAUCCCGGCACACAGCUAAUGAUACUGGCAACUCCAACAUCGCGCUCACCAAUACAAUGCUUCGACGAGUACAUUGACCGUUGAGCAGAUGGAACAUCCUGUAGACUGUGACGCGGAGGCUCAGAACCUGGUUCUCGAAUUUCAACACCACCAGACUUGCGACGACCGGUGAAUUCAGACGCCUUUCCUUUUCCUUUGUCCUGAGCUUUGCCUUUCCCUUUUUCAAUGCCUUUUCCUUUGCCUUUUCCUUUUCUUGUAUCCUUUUCCUUAGCUAACACCUCUGAAGAAAAAGCCUCCCAGUUUGGCUCAUCCUCCUCAGAUUCGUCGCCAGGAGCAUACUCGCUCCCUUCAUCCUCCGGUUGUUGCUCAACCGGCCAUUUACUUGAAGAGCGCUGUCGUUUACUUCCUCGACCACCCCCAGCCAUAAGGACCACAAGCACAAGAAUCCACGAGUACAUUUUCGAAAAAUCACCUGUUAAACAUAAUGAAUUUUACAAAUGGAACAUAAGAACACUUAAUUUUUUUUUAUUCCAAAAAAAAUUUCAGCAAAUUGAUAUAAAAAUGCUAGAUAAUCCUAGGGGCCACAAAACAUGAGAAUCAUGAACAAUUGAAGCAACAAAAAUCAGUAAAACCACAUUAUCGGAGUGAAACUAGGUUUUGAUGAUGAAAAACUUACAAAACUUGACCAAAAAGGUGAAGAAAUACAAGAGAAUAAGAAAACAACAGAUCUAAGACCAAGAUCGAAGCACAAAAAUGCAUAUUUAGCAAGAUCUCUUGAACAUACAUCAAAAAUCUGAAACGAAACACAUUAUUGGAGUAUAUGAUAUAAAAACAACAAAAUCCGAAAAUCAUACCUAAGAUUAGUGUAAAAAGAUGAAAAGAGGGAACCAAAAUCACCUGGGGAAUAUUAGAAGCUCAGCAGAAGAGGAUGAAUGAAAUUGGUAAAGUAACAUGUGAAAGACCGCAAACCCUUAUAUCCGGUUCGGGCAGAGGGACCGGUCUCUCCUGCCUGGGACCGGUCCCAGAGCUUGAAUUACGAAAAAUUUCAAUCUAAGCUCAAAUUUUGUCUAGAAAAAUUAUAAGAUAUUCCACAAUGUUCAAUCAACAAAAAUAACCAAUUUCUAUCCCCAAAAAUUUCAAAUAAAAUUUCAUAAAUAAAUUUUCAAAAAUCAAUUUCAAGGAAAGUCAAUUUGGCAAAAUUGUUGACCCGAUAAUCAAUGAAAAUUCCUGAUACAUAUAAAAUAAAAUUCUACACAUCAUGCAAGAGCUAGGAAUUAAUUGUAUCGAUUUAUCAUCAUAUUUGUUAAAGAAAAUGUAUAAAUAAUUCUCAAAAUCGUGAAAUUAAAAUAAUAUGUUCAAAUUUAGUUAUGCACAAUGUUCGAGACAGGAGUGGCUCUUUGAGCAUCUUUUUUUUUAUUAACAUUCCACCUUAUAUCACCUUUGAGAUGUGUAGCUCUUUGAGCAUUUUUCUUUUUAGCUCUGAAAGGUAUUUUCCUUUUGUCUUAGAGAUAUACGUUAAUCAACAUUUGGUAGCUGCACACACUGACCGGACGAUUGGGGUGGUAGCUCUUUCCUCCAUGUGGUGGUAGUUUUCACACUCCCAGCAGGGAUGUAACUCUUUCCACAUCUUGAAUUUCAGAAAAUUUCAUUACCAAAAUCGGAAAGACUCUCCCUAAAUUAGUGCAACCCUCAAGUCAAAAAUAUUAUUGCAAUUUCAAAAUCAGAGAAAGAAUUAUUCAUCUUAUAACGAAUAAUCAAACAAACAAUUGCAACAUUCAAAGUUCAAAGCAUGAGGUGUUGAAUUUGAUUUAGUAUGCUAAACAGAAUUUCAACGAUUUGAUCGUUCAAAAAUUAUGACAAAAGAGAACAACCUUGAUAGUGAUCAAUCAAAAAUUAAAUAUGAAAUAAUUAAAAUCACAGACCAACUCAUCUCCCAAAACAGCAACAUUAUUCAAGAAAUCCAAUCAUCUCUCAAGCAUAAUCAGGAAAUACCGGAAACCAUGCACAAAAACAAAAUGCAACAUGCACAUGAUAUAUGGCCCAAUAGAGUAUAUCUAGAUUGAAGGAUUCAUACCAAUCGCCUUUCUUAAAUGCAGAAAAUGUUUUUGAUCCAAAGGUUUGGUUAAAAUAUCUGCAAGUUGAUUUUCAGUCGAAAUAUAUUCAAAUUGUAGGAUGUUUGAUUCAACCAGUUUUCUUAAAAAGUGAUAUCUUAGUUCAAUAUGUUUUGUUCGUGAAUGUAAAACAGGAUUUUUAGAAAUAUUUAUUGCACUUGUGUUGUCACACAGAAUAGAAAGGGGGGGUGGAAGGUAUUCGAUAGUCGCUCAGUAAACUUUUCAUCCAAAUCAAUUGAGUAGAGCAACUCCCGGCCACAAUGUAUUCAGCUUCUGCAGUGGAAAGAGCAAUACAGUUUUGUUUCUUACUGUGCCAAGCAACCAGACAGUGUCCAAUGUAGAAACAAGCUCCACUGGUACUUUUUCGAUCAUCUGCAGAGCCUGCCCAGUCAGCAUCUGAGUAGCCGAUUAGAUCAAGGGAUAUUCCCAUAAGAUACCAGAGGCCAUAUGCGGUUGUACCUUUAACGUACCGAAUGAUCCUUUUAACUGCUUUCAGAUGGACUUCCUUAGGAUUAGCUUGAUAGCGAGCACAAAUUCCAACACUAAAAGCGAUAUCUGGCCUGCUCGCAGUCAAGUACAGUAGGCUCCCAAUCAUGCUUCUGUAUUGUUUCUCAUCCACGCUCUGUCCUUCCGAAUUCACUCCAAGUCCUUUGUUACUUGUACCCAUUGGAGUGUCAAAAUCCUUUGCACUGUCCAAUCCAAAUUUCUUAACCAAAUCUUUCGCAUAUUUGGAUUGACACAAGUGAAUUCCAUCUUUAGUUUGUUUGACUUGAAGUCCAAGGAAAUAAUUAAGCUCCCCCAUCAUCGACAUCCCAAAUUCGCUUGUCAUCAAUUUAGCAAAAUCAUUGGCAUCUUUAUCUUUAGUUGCCCCAAAGACUAUGUCAUCAACAUAUAUUUGUGCCACAAUGAAAUCAUUCUUGAAGUGUUUUACAAAGAGAGUUCUAUCCGCUCCCCCUCGGUUAUAGCCCUUUUCCAAAAGAUAUUUUGUCAAGCGUUCGUACCAUGCUCGCGGAACCUGUUUUAGUCCAUAAAGUGCAUUUUUCAGUCGGAAAACGUGAUUUAGAAAUUUUGAGUCUAUAAAACCUUUCGGUUGUUCAACAUAAACUUCCUCUUUUAAAAAUUCUAUUUAGAAAAGCACUUUUAACAUCCAUUUGAAAAAGAGUGAUUUUAAAAUGGCAGGCAAUCGCGAACAAUAUACGAAUUGAUUCAAGACGGGCAACCGGGCGAAGGUUUCAUCAAAGUCUAUUCCCUUAAUUUGUGAGUACCCCUGAGCAACAAGUCUCGCUUUGUUCCGAACAAUAGUACCAUCCUCAUUUUUCUUAUUCUUAAAGAUCCAUUUGGUACCUAUGAUGUGUUGUUGCUCAGGACGAGGCACUAAUUCCCAUACAUCAUUGCGAACAAAUUGACCAAGUUCUUCUUGCAUUGCAUUUAUCCAAUAUUCAUCACGUAAAGCUUCGUCAAUAUUCUUUGGCUCAAUCAAAGAUACAUAGCACGCAAAUUCACAUUGUAGUUGACUUAUUGUUCGCACACCAACAUUAGGGUCCCGAAUUACAUUCGAUAAAGGAUGAUCUCUCGACUCUGUCAGGGGUGUAGUCUCAGGAGAUAUGCUUGGGAUUUCAGAUGAGGUGUUUUGAGGCUCAGAUGAAUCAUUUGAAGCAACAUUUUCAGAAGAUACAAUGGAAUUGUCAAGUGCAGAAACAUCAUCAUUCACAGGCAAUACAAACAGAGAAUCAUUAUCAUCAUCAUUCACCAAAGAAGUAGAAGAACCAUUCACAGAGGAGCUUACAGAAGAAGCUUCAUCUACUUUUAUAUUGAUAGAUUCUAUCACCGUCUUAGAUCGUAAAUUGUACGCACGAUAAGCACGACUUGUAGUAGAAUAACCAAGAAAAAUCCCUUCGUCACUUCGAGAGUCAAAUUUUCCAAGAUUUUCACGAUCCCGAAGGAUAAAACAUUUACUCCCGAAGACACGAAAGUAUUUAAUAUUAGGUUUCCUACCAAGCCAAAGUUCAUACGGAGUAUUCAAAGUACCCGGGCGCACAUAAAUCCGAUUGAUAACAUAGACAGCCGUGUUCACUGCUUCGGCCCAAAAGUGUAAAGCAAUUUUCUUACUAUGAAGCAUAACACGAGCCAUCUCCUGUACAACCCGAUUCUUGCGUUCAACCACUCCGUUUUGUUGGGGUGUAUAGGGGGCCGAGAAUUCAUGUUUUAUACCAUUUGAAACACAGAAAUCAACAAAUUUAGAAUUUAUGAAUUCUCCCCCUUGAUCGCUUCGAAUGCGUACAAUUUUAUCAUUUCGUUCAGUCAUAAGACGAAGACAGAUUUCAGAAAAAGAAUUAAAAGUAUCAGCUUUUUCUCGUAAGAAAGCACUCCAUACAUAGCGAGUAAAAUCAUCAACAAUAAGCAAAAUAUAACGUUUUCCACCCAAACUUUGAAUCCUAGAUGGUCCCAUCAAGUCCAUGUGAAGUAACUCUAAAGGUUUAGAAGUCCCUAAGUGGUUCAAAUUCUUAUGUGCGGAUCUAGUUUGUUUCCUCAAUUGGCAACCCCCACACACAGUGUUCUCUUUGAAGUCUAUCUUAGGUACACCUCUAACAACCUCUUUCUUUGUUAUCUUGGACAGCUCCUUAAAAUUUAUGUGACCUAGUCGUUCAUGCCAUAGAGUUUCAGUCUCUAAUGACGCUAGGUUACAAUGUUCAGUCGAAGAACUAGAAACUACAUAACAGUUAUUCUGAGAUCUAAUGUCCUUUAAGAAAAGAUUGUCAUAACGAGUCACAUGGCAUUCUUUAUCGGAAAAAUUCACAGAGUACGCAUCAUCACACAGUUGGCUUAUACUUACAAGAUUAGAUUUCAGCCCCUCAACAUAGGAAACAUCAUUCAAGGUGGGUCCAUCUGAGAUAGUCACUGUUCCUCCGGAGAUUUUGUUCAAAGAAGUAAACCAAUUUUUAUCUCCGGUCAUGUGGCGGGAACAACCACUAUCCAGAUAUCAUGAAGUAUUAUCGUAAGCAUGAAGCGAAGUGUGAAUGACUAGGCAUGGGAAGAGUUCACCUUUGCGCACCCAAACCUUACAUGUUUUGGGUUGCGUAGAUUCACUUGCUUUUGGUAAUCGUGGCUUGUCGACGAUUUGAAUUGGCUUCCUCUUCAUAUCCUCCUUCUUUGGUUUCCAUGCUUGUUUUGCCUUUGGCUUCGGAGUAUUUGGUGUCCAAGUUUGUCUCUUCUUAUAAUUUGCCUUCUUUGGAGUCCAAGUUGACUUCGUUGUCGUUUUAGGAUCAUCCUUCAUGGGUGCUGUUCAGCUCUUUCCUUUUUGGUUGCAAAAUUUCUUUAUGUGUCCUAAAACACCACAAAUAUGAUAAGUUUUGUUAGCCAAAUUGUUUUUAGGAGAGACGAACUUACCAUAAAGUUUAGGAACAGCAGUCGACGAAUUUCCAUCAACUUUCUUCGUUACUUAAUCAAUAUACGUCCGUUCAUAACCAAGUCCAAGUUUGUUUGUUUGACCAAGUCCAAGCAUCUUGUCAAGUUUACUUGAGCCAGACGAAAAUUGGUUCAAAUCCGACUUUAGUUGAAUAAUCGUCUUGGUGAAUUCCAUAUUUGCUUCUCUAGCUUCUGAGUAUUGCUUGGUGAGAAAAUUGAUGUUCUCCACCUGAGUCUCUGUUUCCUUUUCAAGUAACGAACACUUCUCAAAUAAAGAGUUGUACGCCUUGGUCAAACCAUCUCUUUCUUGCUCUAGAUCCUUUGUUAGUGAGGCAAAUUUUGAAUUUUCUUGUUCCAACUCAUGUAGACUUCACCGCAGUCUCUUGUUAUGUUUAGCCACCUUCUUUGAUUCGACAACCAAUUGUUGAUAUGCUGUGACCAUGUCAUCUUCGUCCGAUUCUUUAUCUGAUGAGUUCUCGAUAGUGACUUUCAUAGUAUUAGAUGAAUUAGAAGAGAGUCACAGCAGAAUGCUAAACCGAAUGAAGUUGAAUCUGUGCAAUCAGUGCCGUGGCAUUUACAUGCUCUUCACUUGAGGGGAAUCGGUCAGUAUGAGGAGUCGUCCAAUAAUAGUGUGCAGUCGCUUUCUUCCUUUCAAGACUUUUUAUUGAGGAAGUCAGAUGCCCAAUAUGGCAAAGCCCUACACUUGUAGCAAUAGAAUUUGACCUUCACUGCUUUUUCUCUUGGUAGAAGUCCUUUUGAAAGUUGAUCAAUUUUGAAUUUUGAUGAGGAAGAGAAGAACGACCCCGUUUAGAUUUGCUUGUCUUAGAGGAAGUAGAUUGGGGUGGGGAAAAAACCUUUGUUUCUAAAUGCGAUCGCGAACUUCUUGUUAAUAGCGCUAGCGUUGCUUUCAAACUCUCAAGGUUUGCUCCGCUACGAAUCUGAAGAAAUUGAAGUGAAUUCUUUUGUUGAUUUUAGAGCCAUCCUUGAAGAUUAGAAGAAAGACUUCGAAGAAGAACAGAUUAGAAGAAAAGUAUUUCAUAAGUUUUGAAGUGCACUACUAAUUCUUCUACCUUGAUUCAUCAGGAUGUUUGACCGUUUCAAUAGCCCGCACCUUUAGGACGAAAUCAGUUCGGGAAGGGUCCUCAAAAUUUUUCGAAAAUUUUGGAAUCGAAAUUGUUUCUCGCCAAGUUAGCACAAAGUGAUUUUACUAUGUCUUGCAAACGGAGUAUAAGUAACUCAGGUAAAAGAUUUAUGUUCUUCUUCAUACGAUGGAAUCAAUCUAUAGUAAUGGUAUUUUGCAAGUUAUUGAAUUCUUAACCAGCUUAAGUACCCUCGUGUUUAAUUGCAAAGUUGUCCCAAAUCUUUGUGCGCGUUUCACACGCGAGACGCGAGAAAAUUCAGUUUGAUUUAAAGCAUUGAAUAAAAGCAUUGAUACCUUUAGCUGAACGAGAUAGUUACGUUUUCCUCUUUCGUCCAUUUAUUUCUAGGUUUCGGACCGGUAACAUUCUCGACAACUUCGGUAGGAUGUUUCCACCCGAAUUCAAUGGCUUGCCAUACCCGCUCGUCGAUAGCAAUAAGAAACGCCCUCAUACGGACUUUCCAAUAAGCGUAAUUAGUGCCAUCGAAGAGAGGGGGUCGAUUAAUGUUACCGCCCUCGGUCAUGAAUUACAACCUAUACCCGCUCUGAUACCACUUGUAAGAUAUGGAUCCCGAGAAUCUAAAAGGUAAGUAACACCUAGAGAGGGGUGAAUAGGUGUAAAAACGGCAAACCCAAAAAUCUCGAUGCAAAUAAAACUAAAUAGCGGAAAAUAAAAUAGCACACCGAGAAUUUAACGUGGGAAAACUCCAAAUCGGAGUGAAAAACCCACGGGACCGAUCACGUGAAGAAAAUCUACUAAGAAAACUUGAGUACAAGUGAUUUUGACAAAAAUACACGACUCAAUUUAUCGAUUUCUUGUUGAUGGUGAUCUUCACCAGUCCUCGAUCGAUAGGAAUCCUCCAACCGAUCCUGCCGCAACUCCUUGCAGCGUCAACGCCUCAACUCCUCGAAGCGUCCGCCGAAUCCUCGGCUUCACGCGAGAUCCACGCGCUGAACCUCCUUCCGGAGCUUGUAGAAUCGAAGAUUUGUGGUGAUUUAAUCUUUGAAUCCCAUAAGCUAUGAGGGUCCGUCUUCUAAUCAAACAUCAACUUGAUUCUCGAAUAAGAUCUCGAGUAACAUCGAAGAACCAAGUCGAUUGUUGAUUUUUCGAAACUUGUUAUGUGAAUAGAAGACUUAAACUUUAAGAUGACCCCCAUAGCUUAUUUAUAUGUUUAGAAGACUUAGAAGUAGACUAGGAUUGCAAAAAGUCCUUUUUAAAAACCUGUGUGGUCCUCAAAGACCGGUCCUCUCGAGGAGACCGGUCUGUGAGAGACCGGUCUCUCAAGUGAGGAACCGGUCCCUCGCUGCAUGACCAAAAUCACAACAUUCGGGAACCGGUCUCUCAAGCUUGAGACCGGUCCCUCGCUGCGCGACAGAAUUACCAAGGUUCGGGAACCGGCCUCUCAUCUCAGGGGACCGGUUGCAUCAAAACUCACGCAGUGAGGACCUUAGGGGAACCGGUCUCUUGAACUCAGGGACCAGUCCCAGCACACAGAAAAGUUCAGUAAAAUAGUUUUAAAGCAAUCUAAGCCUUCUGAACUUAUUCUAAUUAAGUACCUUCACCACAAAUGAUUUUUUCUUCAUACCUUAGGUGCCGAACUUUACGAAUGAAUCUUUAUUCUUCAAUUUGAAUCUUUUCUUCAAAAACUUCCGCGAUCAACUCUUCAAGACUCCAUUCAACAUUACGAAAUUCGCCAAUCUAUAAAAUCCUUAACAAGAACCAACUCCAUGGUUCCCAGUGGGUACGGCCACCCAAGGAAAAAGCUCGACCAAUAGGUCCAAGGGAGGCAACUGCAACAAGUUAGUCCAAUAACAUAUAACAAAUAUUUAUACAUUUACUCGAUAUUGAACUACAUGUCAUGCCUCGAGAUAUGCAAUAUGAAAUCAUGCAACUAUAUAAGUAGAAUAAAUGAUUUUACUUUCUAUCAUGCUAUCCAUAACUUUUCCAUAAUUUAUACAUCUUGUCACUUUACAUCAUUCGUUAUUUGCACCUAAGAUUUUCCUCUACCUUAGCCAAGCUAACCACCCGACUCGGUCUUGAGUCAAUCAUCUGCGGAAUACCGCAUACAUCCAGGCUCGAGGUAAUGGACGUCUCAUAUACACCUCAGCCCUAAAUCAACUCAACUAGAAUACCAGAUAUAUAUAGCUCAGGAUGCUUAUUGUACAUUCACUUGGCUAUUACCCAAUUGCAUCGAGGUUCACCCAGUUCCCCUGGAACUCACAACUCAAAAUCCCUUAAUAGCGGGGGACUCGAACCUCCCUAGGGACCGUCUUCUGGGGGGACAUUACCACGCCCAGUGGUGACCAACUCCGGAGCGCACCGCCCGAGGGGGAGCUACCUCCCUCAAGCCAAGACUUAUCGUGAGUAUCGAUCAAUCCUCAACUUGAGGAUUCAUAGCCACUCGUCACAAUGCCAUUGUCAUAAUAGGUUUUCUACCUAUUUAUUUAUGCCGCUCUCUAGGCCAUUCUUGUCUCAAUGCCACUCUUGGUUAAACUAUGUUUAACAACUAUGUUCUCUAUGCGAAUCAAUGUCUCUAUUGUCAAUGUCACCUUGGUUUACUAUGUCCAAGUCCAACUCUCACAUUCACACAAUUAUAGGGUCCUAACAUACAUGUCCAUUAUGGUUCUACCAUUCUCUAUGUUCAACUAUGUUAGAACAUGUCAUUGAAAGCAACUAAGGUUCACAUGUACUUAGCACUAUCAAGUAUGAAUGAUACAAAAUAUGUAUGCUCAAAUACCAUAAGUGUUUGCUAGGUUCAUGACAAUAGGUUCACACUAUACUUGUUCAACUUAUGCUCAAGACACUAGGUUUAAUGCCACUUGAUGUCCAACCUAUGUUCUUUGACACUAGGUUCAUAUCAUCCAUGUUCAACCUAUAUCCAUGACUCUAGGUUUAAUGCCACUCGAUCUAUGUGCAUAUAUAUAUAUGUCCACAUGCCCAUAUCCUUUUCUUAACAUUAGUAUCUCUACAACAUGAUUAUCAAGUAUAUCUUAGUAUUAGCCACAUGCUUACAUUUAGCAUUUCCAUGACAUGCAUCCAACUAACAUUAACCAAUGCAUAUAUUCUAGCAUUUCUAUACCACAUCUUUAGCAUGCAUUUCCUUUAGCAUUUACUACAUGCAUCCAUCUAGCAUUUAUAUGCAUCAACAUGAAUUCAAUUUACUUAGACAUACAGGCGACCUAGUCGCUUCGGUAAGCACAACCCACCUCGAGUUGCUUUUCGAUUGCUUGUCGACACUUGCAAUCGGCCUCCGCGGCACCCAGCACCCGGUUUGGCCCGAUGUCUUGCGCGACCACCCGAACGGCCUCCAAUCCACGAUCCGAAAAUUAAAGGUCUUCGGUUAUGUGCCACGGUGCUUCAAAUCCAUUUUCAUGAGUUUACGAUAUCGCCUCGGCCCUCCAGGCGGAAACGAAGCCUAAACGUCCAUUUCUUUAAUAACUUCGCAACGGCUCGACGAAUCGCCGAACCGACUUCGCCAAUGCGUUCAUUUACCUAGCAAUUAGGUUUACAGAGAGUCAAAUGAGAUCAAACCCCCAUAUUUUACAAAACUCCAUUUUGAGCCCUAGAUUAUAACUAGGUAAAAAUCCACCAUUAAUCCUCUAGAUUCUAGCAUUUAUCCUCUAUUUAGCAUGCUAGGAUUCCAAAUAAACCAUUUUUAGAGCAUAUAAAUGAAGCUCUAAAGAUCUACCAUGAGAGCGCAUCAAAGCUUACCUCUCAAACAAGCUCCAAUGGAGAGGAAGAAGACGAUGAAGAUGAAAAUCCACCUUUAAGCUUUAAUCUUCACCAAAACCACCUCUUUUGGGAGAUAUUUAGAGAGAGAAAGGGAGGUCUCUCUCUCCCUCCAUGCAUGCGUGUGUGUGUGUGGCGCAUGUGUGUGUGUGGCUGCACGGUUGGGGGAGAAGAAGAGCAAUGCUCUUUUAUACAUUAACACCCAAAACACUAUUCACUCCAGGCAGUUUAGCAGUUCGGAACAGUCGGAGCCCUUCUGAAUGUCCGUUUGGGCUCAAAUUUGAUAGGUAGGCUCGGUUUAACGUACUGAGUAAGAAUAUAUCUUAAGUUUUCAGUUUCGACCCCGUUUGGUCACUGAAAACUGUACCGAACUGUAAUCUUUAUCAAAAAGCCAUCGGAUUUUAUUUUUCACCUUCCGGGUGUCAGAAUAACAUGAAACUUUAAAUCUAGCCUCAUAAAAAUAAGAAGGUUUAUCCUCCAGUUUACAUAAUUUUCUGACACUGUGCAUUUUCUGCUAAUUUAUCUGUCCCGUUUCCAACAGAAAAUUCUAAAUCUUCUGUUUUCAUUCCGAUUUCAGCACAAGUCACUUUUGACUUAUGUUUUACUUUUCUAAAUCCAAUAAAAAUAGUAUCUCACACUAUUUUAUUUAUUUUUUUUUAUUUUUAUACCAAAAUCUGGUAUGUUACAAAACAUUUGCAAGAGGUACACAUAGAUGAGAGAGAAAUAAAGCUAACUAUUACAUCACAUUUACAUUCAACUUUACUUCUCAUUUAUACAACAUGAUCUCACCUUUAUACACAAAAGGAUUUUACAUCACAAAUACACCAUUUCAUUACAUUCCUUUCCAAAGGGUUAAACAUUUCCUUUACUUUUCCUUUAUAUAUACUCGAGGGUAGUGAGCUAAUGCCGGUGGUCCACACUAUUUAGGGCUCGAUGCCCAAGCCGCGUCCUCGACAAAUGUGCUCGCGCUAGGCUCUGUAAAAAUAGGGUGUGAGAACUAUUGUCCAUAGUUCCCAGUGGGUUCGGCCGCCGACCCCGCCGAUUUUCCCACUAGGUCCAAGAAAGGCAUAGAAACAAUAAAGAGGUCAACAUGUCAAAGUAAUAAUAGAUAUAACAAUAAGCCUACCCUGCUCAUCUACAUCUAUAUCAUGCUCAAAUGUGUAGCUAUGCCUUUACUAAUCAUGUCAACAAGUAUAAGUUUAAGUUCUAUCAUGUAUGCAAACUAUAUAUGAAAUGCCAUGAUCAUGCCUGAAUCCAAUCAAUCGGUUCGCCCAAAGGUCGAACCACGACUCGGUCCAUACCGUCACGCCACCGUGACCGUCUGCCGGGGGCACACCAUCGUGACCACCUCCCCCGUCUCAAUCUCACUGUGAUACAACUCCGGAGCUCACGUGAAUGGGAGGCGCGACCUCCACUAAUACAACAGAGGAAUCGAGUAUGAUCUAGUCCUCCCGCCCGAGGACAUCGGGGGUCCCACACCCCAAACAAUCACAAGGCAUGGUAUGUUCAAGUCGACCACAUAUACAAUGGUUUUCAAUUUUACAAUGUCAUUGGUUCAUAUACUAGUUCCUCAUGAAUCUAGUCUAUUCCCACAUCAUAUCCUCAUGCAUAUGUCCACUAGCAACUCAAUGCAACAUGCAUAAGUACAUUUAUAUUGGCAUCAUAUAAAAGUUCUCAUGCAACAUACAUGUCCACAUCUAUCUCAACAUCAUGCAAAUAGAUAUUCCUACAAGUAUCAUGCAAUCAUGGAUCAUCAUCCCUCACACUAAGCAUGAAAUUACCACAACUCAUAGGAUUCUCACUAUUCUAUACAUGAUGAUAUAUGAUCAAUAAUAGUAGAACUUAGACAUAGAAUGAAACUCGGCUAUUUCGGAUAGCACCCCCUACCUCGUGUCAAUGCCACGAAGCGGGAAAGCCAAGCUGCGCAAUUUAUCGUCGUCGAUUUCUCCCGACUGCGGCAAACGAAGCCGAAACGGCAAUUUCUUGCAAUUGACCACCACCGGCUUAACGGAAUCUC
rnacentral:lncRNA from 1 species